rnacentral:rRNA from 1 species
AGGACGAACGCUGGCGGCGUGCCUAACACAUGCAAGUCGAACGCGCUCCAUUCGGUAGCAAUACUGAUGAAGAGCGAGUGGCGAACGGGUGAGUAGCACGUGAGCAACCUGCCCCGAAGACUGGGACAACACCGGGAAACCGGUGCUAAUACCGGAUAUCCCUAUCGGACCGCAUGAUCUGAUAAGGAAAUGGAUUCCGCUUCGGGAGGGGCUCGCGGCCUAUCAGCUAGUUGGUGAGGUAACGGCCCACCAAGGCAUCGACGGGUAGCUGGUCUGAGAGGACGAUCAGCCACACUGGGACUGAGACACGGCCCAGACUCCUACGGGAGGCAGCAGUGGGGAAUCUUGCGCAAUGGGCGAAAGCCUGACGCAGCAACGCCGCGUGGAGGACGAAGGCUUUCUGAGUUGUAAACUCCUUUCAGCAGGACGAUAGUGACGGUACCUGCAGAAGAAGCACCGGCCAACUACGUGCCAGCGAGCCGUA